rnacentral:rRNA from 1 species
GACGAACGCUGGCGGCGUGCUUAACACAUGCAAGUCGAACGAAGAGCGAUGGAAGCUUGCUUCUAUCAAUCUUAGUGGCGAACGGGUGAGUAACGCGUAAUCAACCUGCCCUUCAGAGGGGGACAACAGUUGGAAACGACUGCUAAUACCGCAUACGAUCUAACCUCGGCAUCGAGGAUAGAUGAAAGGUGGCCUCUACAUGUAAGCUAUCACUGAAGGAGGGGAUUGCGUCUGAUUAGCUAGUUGGAGGGGUAACGGCCCACCAAGGCGAUGAUCAGUAGCCGGUCUGAGAGGAUGAACGGCCACAUUGGGACUGAGACACGGCCCAGACUCCUACGGGAGGCAGCAGUGGGGAAUCUUCCGCAAUGGACGAAAGUCUGACGGAGCAACGCCGCGUGAGUGAUGACCGGCUUCGGGUUGUAAAGCUCUGUUAAUCGGGACGAAAGGCCUUCUUGCGAAUAGUGAGAAG